rnacentral:rRNA from 1 species
GGUAAAUCUCGUGCCAGCCACCGCGGUCACACAAGAGACCCAAGCUAACCGUUUGCGGCGUAAAGAGUGGACUCAUGCUUAUCACACUAAUUAAGGUCAAAACGCAACUGAGCUGUCAUAAGCCUAAGAUGCAUUUAAAACCGCCCUAAAGAUGACCCUAAAUUCACAAGACUUAAUGAACUCCACGAAAGCCAGGGCACAAACUGGGAUUAGAUACCCCACUAUGCCUGGCCCUAAAUCUUGAUGCUCUAUAUAACCAAAGCAUCCGCCUGAGAACUACGAGCACAAACGCUUAAAACUCUAAGGACUUGGCGGUGCCCCAAACCCACCUAGAGGAGCCUGUUCUGUAAUCGAUACUCCACGAUACACCCGACCACUUCUUGCCAUGGACAGCCUACAUACCGCCGUCGCCAGCUCACCUCCUCUGAGAGCACUACAGUGAGCACAACCGCCCUAACCCCGCUAACAAGACAGGUCAAGGUAUAGCUUAUGAAGUGGAAGAAAUGGGCUACAUUUUCUAAUCUAGAAAAUCCCACGAAAAGGGGCAUGAAAUAGCCCCUAGAAGGCGGAUUUAGCAGUAAAGAGGGAUAAUAUAAGCCCCCUUUAAGCUGGCUCUGGGGCACGUACAUACCGCCCGUCACCCUCCUCAUAAGCUCUAAACUACCAAUAAAUAAUACUCCUACCUGCUAAAGAUGAGGUAAGUCGUAACAAGGUAAGCAUACUGGA